UACAGAGGUCUUAAGCGUUGUUCGGAUUCAUUGGGCGUAAAGGGUGCGUAGGUGGCGGGGCAAGUCUGGUGUGAAAUCUCGGGGCUCAACUCCGAAACUGCACUGGAUACUGCCUUGCUCGAGUACUGGAGAGGAGAUUGGAAUUUACGGUGUAGCAGUGAAAUGCGUAGAUAUCGUAAGGAAGACCAGUGGCGAAGGCGAAUCUCUGGACAGUUACUGACACUGAGGCACGAAGGCCAGGGGAGCAAACGGG
rnacentral:rRNA from 1 species